rnacentral:rRNA from 1 species
AUUGAACGCUGGCGGCAGGCCUAACACAUGCAAGUCGAACGAGUGGCGGACGGGUGAGUAAUGUCUGGGAAACUGCCCGAUGGAGGGGGAUAACUACUGGAAACGGUAGCUAAUACCGCAUACCAUCGGAUGUGCCCAGAUGGGAUUAGCUUGUAGGUGAGGGAACGGCUCACCUGGGCGACGAUCCCUAGCUGGUCUGAGAGGAUGACCAGCGACACUGGAACUGAGACACGGUCCAGACUCCUACGGGAGGAAGCAGUGGGGAGUAUUGCACAAGGGGCGCAAGCCUGAUGCAGCCAGGCCGCGUGUAUGAAGAAGGCCGUAGGGUUGUAAAGUACUGUCAGCGGGGAGGCGUUACCCGCAGAAGAAGCACCGGCUAACUCCGUGCCAGCAGCCGCGGGAAUAC